rnacentral:rRNA from 1 species
UACGAAGGUGGCAAGCGUUGUUCGGAUUUACUGGGCGUACAGGGAGCGUAGGCGGUUGGAUAAGCCCUCCGUGAAAUCUCCAGGCUUAACCUGGAAAGUGCAGAGGGGACUGUUCAGCUAGAGGAUGGGAGAGGAGCGCGGAAUUCCCGGUGUAGCGGUGAAAUGCGUAGAGAUCGGGAGGAAGGCCGGUGGCGAAGGCGGCGCUCUGGAACAUUUCUGACGCUGAGGAUCGAAAGCGUGGGGAGCAAACAGG